UAUUCGGAAAUUCGGUUUUCUAUUCGGAAAUUUGGGUGGCUCCGUCAGAAGAACGACUAUUCCAGGUACUUACGACUCAAUAGUUAUGAAUCUGGUCAAUUGUUUAGCUGAAAAUGGCGAGAAAAUGGAAUACCAACACGACAUUAACUGGGAGAUGUGGC